rnacentral:rRNA from 1 species
ACUAAGCGUACACGGUGGAUGCCCUGGCAGUCAGAGGCGAUGAAGGACGUGCUAAUCUGCGAUAAGCGUCGGUAAGGUGAUAUGAACCGUUAUAACCGGCGAUUUCCGAAUGGGGAAACCCAGUGUGUUUCGUCACACUAUCAUUAACUGAAUCCAUAGGUUAAUGAGGCGAACCGGGGGAACUGAAACAUCUAAGUACCCCGAGGAAAAGAAAUCAACCGAGAUUCCCCCAGUAGCGGCGAGCGAACGGGGAGCAGCCCAGAGCCUGAAUCAGUAUGUGUGUUAGUGGAAGCGUCUGGAAAGGCGCGCGAUACAGGGUGACAGCCCCGUACACAAAAAUGCACAUGCUGUGAGCUCGAUGAGUAGGGCGGGACACGUGGUAUCCUGUCUGAAUAUGGGGGGACCAUCCUCCAAGGCUAAAUACUCCUGACUGACCGAUAGUGAACCAGUACCGUGAGGGAAAGGCGAAAAGAACCCCGGCGAGGGGAGUGAAAAAGAACCUGAAACCGUGUACGUACAAGCAGUGGGAGCACAGAGCAAUCUGUGUGACUGCGUACCUUUUGUAUAAUGGGUCAGCGACUUAUAUUCUGUAGCAAGGUUAACCGAAUAGGGGAGCCGAAGGGAAACCGAGUCUUAACUGGGCGUUAAGUUGCAGGGUAUAGACCCGAAACCCGGUGAUCUAGCCAUGGGCAGGUUGAAGGUUGGGUAACACUAACUGGAGGACCGAACCGACUAAUGUUGAAAAAUUAGCGGAUGACUUGUGGCUGGGGGUGAAAGGCCAAUCAAACCGGGAGAUAGCUGGUUCUCCCCGAAAGCUAUUUAGGUAGCGCCUCGUGAAUUCAUCUCCGGGGGUAGAGCACUGUUUCGGCAAGGGGGUCAUCCCGACUUACCAACCCGAUGCAAACUGCGAAUACCGGAGAAUGUUAUCACGGGAGACACACGGCGGGUGCUAACGUCCGUCGUGAAGAGGGAAACAACCCAGACCGCCAGCUAAGGUCCCAAAGUCAUGGUUAAGUGGGAAACGAUGUGGGAAGGCCCAGACAGCCAGGAUGUUGGCUUAGAAGCAGCCAUCAUUUAAAGAAAGCGUAAUAGCUCACUGGUCGAGUCGGCCUGCGCGGAAGAUGUAACGGGGCUAAACCAUGCACCGAAGCUGCGGCAGCGACGCUUAUGCGUUGUUGGGUAGGGGAGCGUUCUGUAAGCCUGUGAAGGUGUGCUGUGAGGUAUGCUGGAGGUAUCAGAAGUGCGAAUGCUGACAUAAGUAACGAUAAAGCGGGUGAAAAGCCCGCUCGCCGGAAGACCAAGGGUUCCUGUCCAACGUUAAUCGGGGCAGGGUGAGUCGACCCCUAAGGCGAGGCCGAAAGGCGUAGUCGAUGGGAAACAGGUUAAUAUUCCUGUACUUGGUGUUACUGCGAAGGGGGGACGGAGAAGGCUAUGUUGGCCGGGCGACGGUUGUCCCGGUUUAAGCGUGUAGGCUGGUUUUCCAGGCAAAUCCGGAAAAUCAAGGCUGAGGCGUGAUGACGAGGCACUACGGUGCUGAAGCAACAAAUGCCCUGCUUCCAGGAAAAGCCUCUAAGCAUCAGGUAACAUCAAAUCGUACCCCAAACCGACACAGGUGGUCAGGUAGAGAAUACCAAGGCGCUUGAGAGAACUCGGGUGAAGGAACUAGGCAAAAUGGUGCCGUAACUUCGGGAGAAGGCACGCUGAUAUGUAGGUGAAGCGACUUGCUCGUGGAGCUGAAAUCAGUCGAAGAUACCAGCUGGCUGCAACUGUUUAUUAAAAACACAGCACUGUGCAAACACGAAAGUGGACGUAUACGGUGUGACGCCUGCCCGGUGCCGGAAGGUUAAUUGAUGGGGUCAGCGCAAGCGAAGCUCUUGAUCGAAGCCCCGGUAAACGGCGGCCGUAACUAUAACGGUCCUAAGGUAGCGAAAUUCCUUGUCGGGUAAGUUCCGACCUGCACGAAUGGCGUAAUGAUGGCCAGGCUGUCUCCACCCGAGACUCAGUGAAAUUGAACUCGCUGUGAAGAUGCAGUGUACCCGCGGCAAGACGGAAAGACCCCGUGAACCUUUACUAUAGCUUGACACUGAACAUUGAGCCUUGAUGUGUAGGAUAGGUGGGAGGCUUUGAAGUGUGGACGCCAGUCUGCAUGGAGCCGACCUUGAAAUACCACCCUUUAAUGUUUGAUGUUCUAACGUUGACCCGUAAUCCGGGUUGCGGACAGUGUCUGGUGGGUAGUUUGACUGGGGCGGUCUCCUCCUAAAGAGUAACGGAGGAGCACGAAGGUUGGCUAAUCCUGGUCGGACAUCAGGAGGUUAGUGCAAUGGCAUAAGCCAGCUUGACUGCGAGCGUGACGGCGCGAGCAGGUGCGAAAGCAGGUCAUAGUGAUCCGGUGGUUCUGAAUGGAAGGGCCAUCGCUCAACGGAUAAAAGGUACUCCGGGGAUAACAGGCUGAUACCGCCCAAGAGUUCAUAUCGACGGCGGUGUUUGGCACCUCGAUGUCGGCUCAUCACAUCCUGGGGCUGAAGUAGGUCCCAAGGGUAUGGCUGUUCGCCAUUUAAAGUGGUACGCGAGCUGGGUUUAGAACGUCGUGAGACAGUUCGGUCCCUAUCUGCCGUGGGCGCUGGAGAACUGAGGGGGGCUGCUCCUAGUACGAGAGGACCGGAGUGGACGCAUCACUGGUGUUCGGGUUGUCAUGCCAAUGGCACUGCCCGGUAGCUAAAUGCGGAAGAGAUAAGUGCUGAAAGCAUCUAAGCACGAAACUUGCCCCGAGAUGAGUUCUCCCUGACUCCUUGAGAGUCCUGAAGGAACGUUGAAGACGACGACGUUGAUAGGCCGGGUGUGUAAGCGCAGCGAUGCGUUGAGCUAACCGGUACUAAUGAACCGUGAGGCUUAACC